UAUAAGGUGAUGUUUAAUAGAGUGCA
rnacentral:misc_RNA from 1 species